rnacentral:rRNA from 1 species
GUAGGCCUAACACAUGCAAGUCGAACGGCAGCACAGUAAGAGCUUGCUCUUAUGGGUGGCGAGUGGCGGACGGGUGAGGAAUACAUCGGAAUCUACUUUUUCGUGGGGGAUAACGUAGGGAAACUUACGCUAAUACCGCAUACGACCUUCGGGUGAAAGCAGGGGACCUUCGGGCCUUGCGCGAUUGAAUGAGCCGAUGUCGGAUUAGCUAGUUGGCGGGGUAAAGGCCCACCAAGGCGACGAUCCGUAGCUGGUCUGAGAGGAUGAUCAGCCACACUGGAACUGAGACACGGUCCAGACUCCUACGGGAGGCAGCAGUGGGGAAUAUUGGACAAUGGGCGCAAGCCUGAUCCAGCCAUACCGCGUGGGUGAAGAAGGCCUUCGGGUUGUAAAGCCCUUUUGUUGGGAAAGAAAAGCAGCGGGCUAAUACCUUGCUGUUCUGACGGUACCCAAAGAAUAAGCACCGGCUAACUUCGUGCCAGCAGCCGCGGUAAUACGAAGGGUGCAAGCGUUACUCGGAAUUACUGGGCGUAAAGCGUGCGUAGGUGGUUGUUUAAGUCUGUUGUGAAAGCCCUGGGCUCAACCUGGGAACUGCAGUGGAAACUGGAUGACUAGAGUGUGGUAGAGGGUAGCGGAAUUCCCGGUGUAGCAGUGAAAUGCGUAGAGAUCGGGAGGAACAUCCAUGGCGAAGG